rnacentral:rRNA from 1 species
ACGGGAGGCAGCAGUGGGGAAUAUUGCACAAUGGGGGAAACCCUGAUGUAGCGACGCCGCGUGAGUGAAGAAGUAUUUCGGUAUGUAAAGCUCUAUCAGCAGGAAAGAAAAUGACGGUACCUGACUAAGAAGCCCCGGCUAACUACGUGCCAGCAGCCGCGGUAAUACGUAGGGGGCAAGCGUUAUCCGGAUUUACUGGGUGUAAAGGGAGCGUAGACGGUAAGGCAAGUCUGAAGUGAAAUGCCAGGGCUCAACCCUGGAACUGCUUUGGAAACUGUCCUACUAGAGUGCAGGAGAGGUAAGUGGAAUUCCUAGUGUAGCGGUGAAAUGCGUAGAUAUUAGGAGGAACACCAGUGGCGAAGGCGGCUUACUGGACUGUAACUGACGUUGAGGCUCGAAAGCGUGGGGAGCAAACAGGAUUAGAUACCCUGGUA